GGGAGUGUAGUUCAGUGGUAGAAUGCUUGCUUAGCAUGCACGAGGCCCUGGGUUUAAUCCCCAGCACCAUCA
rnacentral:tRNA from 1 species